rnacentral:tRNA from 1 species
GCCGCCUUAGCUUAGUUGGAAGAGCAGGGCUUUCGUAAAGCCAAGGUCCUGGGUUCGAUUCCCAGAGGCGGCUCAA